AGUACUCAACUUGCAGCUUUGUUGCUUGCAAGCUUGGAAUUGGGACCUGUCGGCGCAAGUCGACUGUCCUGAAAUGCAUUAGCCCUGAAUGCGAUCGUCGCAACUAAGCGUGAUAAACUUUGUCUUCGCUGAAAGCGUUCGUUCGGAGGGCUCACAGAAACCCCAUACUUUUUCAC
rnacentral:misc_RNA from 1 species